rnacentral:rRNA from 1 species
AUUGAACGCUGGCGGCAUGCCUUACACAUGCAAGUCGAACGGUAACGGGCCUUCGGGUGCCGACGAGUGGCGAACGGGUGAGUAAUACAUCGGAACGUGCCCGAUCGUGGGGGAUAACGAGGCGAAAGCUUUGCUAAUACCGCAUACGAUCUACGGAUGAAAGCAGGGGACCGUAAGGCCUUGCGCGGACGGAGCGGCCGAUGGCAGAUUAGGUAGUUGGUGGGAUAAAAGCUUACCAAGCCGACGAUCUGUAGCUGGUCUGAGAGGAUGAUCAGCCACACUGGGACUGAGACACGGCCCAGACUCCUACGGGAGGCAGCAGUGGGGAAUUUUGGACAAUGGGCGCAAGCCUGAUCCAGCCAUGCCGCGUGCAGGAUGAAGGCCUUCGGGUUGUAAACUGCUUUUGUACGGAACGAAAAGCCUUCUUUUAAUACAGGAGGGUCAUGACGGUACCGUAAGAAUAAGCACCGGCUAACUACGUG